UGGUGGAGUGAUUUGUCUGCUUAAUUGCGAUAACGAACGAGACCUUAACCUGCUAAAUAGCCCAUAUUGCUUCGGCAGUAUGCUGGCUUCUUAGAGGGACUAUCGGCUCAAGCCGAUGGAAGUUUGAGGCAAUAACA
rnacentral:rRNA from 1 species